GUAUUGGAGGGGAAGAUUGCGACCUCGAUGUUGGCUUUAGAUAUCCUAGAGGCGUAGAAGCUUCUGAUGGUGGGUCUGUUCGCCCUUUAAAAUCUAACAUGAGCUGAGUUCAGAACGGCGUGAGCUAGUUCAGUUUCUAUCCUCUUUUUGAAAUGAGCUAAUUUUGUACGAAAGGACUUUUUCGCUAAAGCAAUGCUUUGUCACAAAUCUGUGGUUGCAUAAAUAAUAGUGCAUAAUAGGUUGAUUAGCCUAUAGAAAGGGUUA
rnacentral:rRNA from 1 species